UAAUUGAAAAGCUAUCGCUUCAACUGAUGAUCUCUUCUAACAAAGUGAAAAAAGAUUACCACUUGACCAAUUGAUUAAGGGAAACGGUCAUGCAUGUGCCAAGGGGCUAGUAUAUCUAUAAAGCAAAAUGCAGAGAAUGAUGAAACAUUCAAAAUACUAGAAAAUGUCCUUGGUUAAUUCAAACAUUAAGAAUUGAAAUUAUUAAUUAAAUGAGGAUAAUAUGAUAAAUUCACUUUAUAUUUAUUUUAAAAAAAUCAGAUAAUAGAUCUUAUUUUUAUGGAACACAACUACCUAUUAUAUUUUUUUGAAUUCUAACAUAAAUUUAAAUUUUUAAAUAAAUAAAUAAAUAAAGCCUUUUGCAGGUGUGGAGAGGCUAGUAUAUAUAAAGCAAAUAUAUAAAGCAAAAGACAGCGAAUGGUGAAACAUUUAAAAUACCUCAAAAUGCCCUUGAUUCAUGCAAAUAUUAAGAAUUAAAGUUAUUAAUUAAAUGAGGAUAAUAUGGUAAAUUUACACUUUUUCAUAUUAAAUAAAAUAAAAAACAAAAACAAAAUCAGAUAAUUUAUCCUAUUUUUAUAGAACACAACUACCUAAUUAUUUCCAUAAAUAAAAAUAUACCUAUUAUCUUUUUUAAUUCUAACCUAAAAUAAAAUUUUAAAUUAAAAAAAACCGAUCGGCACGCUCUAAGUAUAAUGAAUGGAUCUGAUUAACAACAUGGAUCACGGAUCACCAAAUUUUUGGCUGUCAGCGGAUCUGACAUUGAACAAGAUGAUGAUUUUAAAAAUAAAAAUAAAAAAAAAGUUUUUGAGUGCUUGAGCCGGUUUGUCGGUUGACUAACUACCAAGUACCAACCUUAAUAUUGGGAGCGGGGCAAUACUCACGUUAGUUCCAAAACAUCAUCAUAUAUUAAAAAUUCCUUCACUUGUUUAUGCUACAUGUAUGCCUAACUCACUUGGCAAUUGUUCUCUCAACCAACUUCCUCUAUUUUUAACAUUUAAGUUAACUAAGAGCAUUUCGG
rnacentral:lncRNA from 1 species